CCGCCCCGUGUGGCCAGCCAGCCCCGCCCCGCGGGACGAGCUGCUGGCGGCACGGCGGUGGGCCUGGCGCUGGCCGAGCUGGCGGCGGCGCUGCUGCUGUGGCCGGGGAGCUGGCCGGGGCGCCCCGGCCCAGCGCAGCCUGUGGAAAAGGACAAACCGUCUCUGCAUCGGUCGCUCGGCUGAACUGCCCCUACUGGGGGGCCUCUCUGGGCCCAGGCGGUGGGGUCUCCACCUUAUUUGGUGUCUCUUGGGGCCCAGGCAUCUCGUUCAGGCUGCACCCAUCUCGGAGAAAACACGGGAGGCCAGAAGGCCCCGUCCGACUUGGAGAACUGGCUAAAAGCAAGCUGCUAAUGGCAUCCAAAUUAUGUCAACUGAAUUUCCAGUGACCUAAAUCAAUGCUCUCGAGCCUCUCCUGCUGAGACACUCUUCAGUGGAGUUGUGUAGUGAAGGAGGCUGUUGUCUGUAGGACCUCUGCUUCAUUUGUUGCAGAAGAUAGACAGAAGAAGAGAUCAGGAUUUCUGUGCUACUUCCUUCACCUAAGACCCCUUCUGGAUCUCCGGAGAAGAACUUCACUUUCUUUUUGAAAGGGGUUAUUGUCUCCAGUUCCAUCUGAACCAUGUAAGGGUUGGGAUUGGACGAGAGAAGCAGAUCAGAGAGUGGAUUCCGAGAAAAAUGUUGGACAGUUUCAUUCAUACCCACUGGAUCCAGAUGCACAGAAGUAUUUCCAACCAAAUCCAUCACUGUUUUGUUUUUUUUUUUGGCCUGAACAGCAUGUUACCCCCACAGGGUUAGAUGAUCCCAGUGGCCAUCUUCUGCACCUUAUCAAGAAGGAUCUAUGCAUGGGACUAGACCUUCACAGAUUCCAUACCAGGAGGACAUUCAGUUGUCUGAUUCAACUGAUACAGAUAUUUGGGGAUUGUUUGUCCUGUUUUUAUCACUGGGAGUUAAUACUAGACAGGUGGAUCCUGGAAGUUAUUGCAUGUGGUUACACAAUUCAAAUCAAGACCCUUGCCCAUAACAACUCACCCAUUUCAUCUCUGGGCAGAGAGCAAAGUCAUCUCAUUUUGUUAAAGAACUAGGUUUGAUCUCUGCUGCAGUUAGGAACGAUAGAGACAGUUCUGCAAGAUCACAGAGGGAGGGUUGUUACUGGUGUUUUCUAAUUUAAAAAAAUAUGGGGCUUUUGCCCUAUUUUGGAUUUAAGGAAAUUAAAUACUUAUAUAAAGAAAUUUUGUUUCUGCAUGUUAGAGAGAACUUCUAUAAUUCUUUCACUUUAUCUUGAGGAUGGGGUUGUUGCUCUGGAUUUAAAAGAUGAAUGUUUCCAUAAAACAAUGUCAUCUGAAA